AUUGAACGCUGGCGGCAGGCCUAACACAUGCAAGUCGAGCGGAUGAAGGGAGCUUGCUCCUGGAUUCAGCGGCGGACGGGUGAGUAAUGCCUAGGAAUCUGCCUGGUAGUGGGGGAUAACGUCCGGAAACGGGCGCUAAUACCGCAUACGUCCUGAGGGAGAAAGUGGGGGAUCUUCGGACCUCACGCUAUCAGAUGAGCCUAGGUCGGAUUAGCUAGUUGGUGGGGUAAAGGCCUACCAAGGCGACGAUCCGUAACUGGUCUGAGAGGAUGAUCAGUCAGAGGGGGAUUGAGAAAACGUCCAGACGACUGCGGGAGGCACAAGCAGGGAAGUUCAGGGAAGGGAGAAAAAGGGGAAGGAGCAAUGGCGAGUGGGAGAAGAAGGUGUUUGGAUUGUACAUAAUUUUGACUAGGGAAGAAAAAAUGUGAAAGUAAAUAUGCGCGUAGUGACGGGACGUAAUCAGAAAGCACCGCCUAACGACGGG
rnacentral:rRNA from 1 species